GACGGAGGGUGCAAGCGUUGUUCGGAAUUACUGGGCGUAAAGCGUACGUAGGUGGCGGGUUAAGUCGAAUGUUAAAGCCUGAGGCUCAACCUCAGAGAUGCACUCGAUACUGGCCUGCUAGAGGGUGAUAGAGGAAAGCGGAAUUCCCAAUGUAGCGGUGAAAUGCGUAGAUAUUGGGAGGAACAUCAGUAGCGAAGGCGCUUUCUGGGUCACACCUGACACUGAGGUACGAAAGCGUGGGGAGCAAACGGG
rnacentral:rRNA from 1 species